GGCUCCACCGCGUGGUCUCAGGCAGGCUGGUGGCUGCCUGGUGAGGAGCUAUGGCCUCGCCAUCACUGCUCCACUGACACGCUUCUGCCGGCGCGCCCACUCAGGCCUCCCCCAGGAGGGCCCUCCUUGUCUGGGGCUGCAGAGGAGGUGCCUGGGGAGGGUCGUGUCCCCUCCAGGGGUGAAGGGUGACGGUGGCCCUCCAGGCAUCAUGCACGCUGCCAAGACUGGCCCUGGGUGACAAACCCGGGGACUUGGGGGCCUGUGUGUGUGGAUGGCUCCUCCCCACCCCCUCUACUCCCGGAACCAGCACAGACACGACCACACUGGUUUGCAACCAUUUAUUCCUGUGCAGGGCUUUGGUUAGAAAAAUAAACGGAAACCAAACAGAAUGAAUAUGAAGCCUGAAGGGAGCCGAAUGCCUCCUGUCCCCCCUCCUCCCCCCGCUGCUCAGGGAGGGACGUCCUCUUGUGCUGGGGGAGGCGCGGCUCCAAGCCAGCAGCUCUUCGUGCCGCACCGCCGCCCUGCCCUAGACCUUCCAGGGGAGCCCCCAUUCUGGCCAGGGAGAGGAGGGGGUGGGGCCCCGGUCCCGAGGGUCACAGGCUGGGGGCCCAGGUGAGGGCGAGGAGGCCCAGGGCCAGCGCCAGGCCGAGGGGGGCGCUGGUGAGCAGGGCGCGGGCGGGCGCAGCGCUCUCCAGAUUCUCGUUGCACAGGUCGCUCAGGCAGCACAGGGUGGACGAGGACCCCCUGCUGACUUGGCCCUGCAGGUUGUGCGUGGGCGUGCACGACUCCACGCAGUCCUUCACCACCAGGUUCCCAGAUAGGGGCUCCACUGGGGACGGGUGGGCGAGGUCAGGCCAGGCAGCACCUCCGACCCCCAGGGCCUCCCAAGUACCAGUUCCCAGCUUCCAUCGCCACCGUGACCGGACGGUCACCGAGAUCACUCCCACCAUCCUCCCCAGGGAUGAUCGUCCAAGCCCUGGGACACGGGGACAGAGCCCUGGAGUGUCCUGCAGGGGCCCCUUUCCCCUCCCCCAGAUCGCUCACCCUUGGUCACGGUCCUGCAGAAUUUUGAGUUGACUGAGCAGGUCUGAGGUCCCUUACAGUUGGUGGAGCUUGUGCAUAUGUGACAGCGGAGAGCCUGGGCUGAGGGCGAGGGUGUAGGGGUUUCAGCAGGCCCCAGGGAGACCUCCCAGGGAGACAGGGAGGCCUGGGUUUACUGCCGGAAAAGACUCCUCCUGGACAGAGCCCUCUGCCACCCCUGCCCUAGGCCAGUCCCCUCUGAGGCCCCUGGGCCCCGCCAGGGUUCAGAUCUUGCACACAGCCUCAGAAGGCAGGAGGUGACAGUCCCUGUCUGCUGGGGCCCUGGCACCCCGCCCGGAGGAGCUGUCCAGCGCCGGGCAUCCCUACAGGACCAGUGAGGAGGUGGCCAGUAUGUGGUGCACUGAAGACCCUUCCCCAGGGGCAUCAGAGGCUCUGGAAUUUGCUAACAGUGGCUCACAGGACCUGGCUGCAGUCCCCACCCUGGGGGCUGUCUCCUGGUGGGCAGCCCACGGAGAGGCAUCUCAAGACAACUCCCAGCAUCGCUCCUUCUCAGAAUGUCUGAUUCUCAGGGUUGAUUCUCUGAUUCUGAAAUAUUAAGUCUGUGAUCCCACAAAGUUAAGAUGCGGGGUUCACUUUGUUCUAGGGUUCACAACGCCGAGGUUCUCUGUGCCUAGAGGUGAGCAACUCCAGGCUUCCAGGGUCCGGCUCCCCACUGCCCCCAGCCCCCAGCCAGCUCCUCACCUGGCCCAGAAGCCACAGCCAGGGCAACAAGGAACAGCAGGGCUGCCUUCAUCUCGGGCGUUCCCGGGAACAGUGGGAGCCCCUCCUCUCCAGAGGCCUUAUCGCUGGGACAGGUGCUGGUGGGAGGGAGGAGCGGGGAGCGGCCCCUCCCUGCCUGGCCCACGCCCUCCAGCGAGGCACACCUCUGCCCUGCCAGCUGGAGGGAUCCCUGCCCCCGCUCCACCCCCACCCCACCCCACCCCCACCGCGCCGCCUGCCCCUCUCUGGGCUGUGGACAAAGGCCCUCAGCUGGUUCUGCAGCCCACCUCCUCUCUCUGUCCUCUGCCCAGCUCUGGUCACUUUGUCUUUGACCUUCCACUUUGUCUCUGACUUCCACCCUCAGAUAGGGUCACAGAGUCCCAAGCCUGUGUGGGUGCCCUGGGGGUGCCCAGCGCUGUGCUGGGGCCAAGGGGCGUGGUGCAGGAGGGAGGCUCAGGCCCUGCAUUCUUGGGCUCCCGGGGGCUCUGGGUUGCUAGGUUGACCCCCAGGGGUCCUGGGGAAAAGACCCUGGGGAAGUGAAGUGUUCACUAAGAUGUCUGGACCUGGGGGAGAAGGGGAAAGAGAAGCCCUCGGGGCAGGGACGUGGAUGCCAGAUGUGCCUGCGGAGAGGUGAGCACCGACUGGCUGAGGGCUGUGAAGUCCAGCGGGACCUGGGGCUUCGGAGGAGGGGCAGGGGCUGGACUGCUGGGGAGGGGGUGGUGUGGAGGCAAAGACGCAACCCCCCAUCGUCUCCACCACCCCUGCCUCCCAUCUUUCCAGGCCCCAGGACCCCUCCUCACCAAGUGCUCCCUCCGCCAUGCUCCAGCCCGGCCCUCCUCCAGCAGCUGCCCGCAUCCUGCUUUGUGACAGUUGCUCUCUGUGUCUGCUUUGGUCCUGAAAGGCAGUGUGCUCUUCCAGGCCAGGCCUAGGGCCCCGCCUGGUGCGGGGUUCGGCUGGGGGGUGCCGGGCAGAUCCCGCCCCACCCUCUCCCUCUGGCAGUGCUCACAGGAGGGACGCGGGCCUCUGCGCAUAGGCUCCCCCUUCCCUUGCCCCUCUCCCCGCAGGUUCCCCUGUCUGCUUGCUGGCCCUGGGACCCCACUACUUCUCCGAUGUGCCCGGCAAACCCUGCUGGGAGGUGCGGGUGGGACCCGCAGAGGCAGGCUGUGAUGACGCCGAGUGGGGCCGGGGCACUGACGGAGGUCAGCCCUGGGCCGCCGCCAGCAGCCCAACCUGCCGGUGGACACGCCCCUGAGGGUCUGGUGGGGCAGCGCCUGCUGUGGGGAUCUGGGCCAGCCUAAGGCUCUUUGGAGCAGAGGCUCAGGCCGGUCAGGUCUGGGCUCCAGACCCCUGGCCUUUCCUCCUGGCAGGCCCCCGGGCAAGCUGGCUCGUGAGCUGGGCCUCACCUCCUCCCUGCCGAGUCAGGGGUGCAUAUCGUGAUGCUGGGGGUCCAAAGAGGUGUGCCCACCCUGAAGCCGUCACUGGACCUGCAGGACCUGCACGAUGGUGGAGGGGCGGUGUUGCGGUGCCUUCCAGGAUCCUGGGGGGCACAGGGAGGGGGCAGGCAGGAGCCCCCGAGGCAGCCUCGCAUCAGCCUCCUGAGCCCGCGAAGGCUGCCUGUCCCGCUGGCUGGUCCCUGGGGCUUGUUUAAGGCAGCUGGGGUGCGGAUUGACAAGGCAGGUGACGUGGGGGUCCCUGGGCCCUGAUCCAGAGAGAGAAAGUCACCCUGAGAUCCGAGGUCUCCCCCGAAGCGGGAGGGAGGAUGCCCAGGGGGCCCUGGGAAGCAGGGCACAGGGCUCAGCGACAGGGUGGCAACUGGCAAGGGGUGGCGGAUGGCAGGUGGGGAGUGGCGACUACUUGGGACAACGGUCAUGGAAGCUGCUGGAAAAACAGGUUUGGGGGAUUAGGUUUCCUGUCGGGCCCGGUGGCGCUGCGGGAUCCAGGGAUGUCGGGCCGACUGGGAGUGGAGGUCUGGGCGUGAGGGCGCUGGGCAGCGGGCUCCCCGCAUAUAGGGCUGGAGGGGGCCCUGUACCCCCGAUCCACCUCCAUGAGGCACCUCAGGCUUUUAUGUGACUGUGUGCCCUGGUGGCAGGGCUAGACACUGGAGCAGAGGCGGCAGCUGGUCCUGUUCUGUGGGAAGGAGGCCUUUGCCCCGGCAGGGCCGCCCACAAGGAUGUGAGCUGCCUCUCCUGGGGCGUCCUAGCAGAAACAUCAACCCCAGAUACACUUUACUUGUGGGAGAAAGUGGGUGAUUCCAAUGACAGGAGCUCUCAGAGAACUGGGAGUUAUCAGGACGGUGCAGUCGGGGAGGGCUUCCUGCAGGCAGUGCUCUGGCCACCACGGUCUUAGAGGCCGGGUUCAGGGGACAGAGGAGCCCUGAAACUCGUCCCCUACCAACCCCUUUCACUGGUGAGGAAAUAAGGGCCAGAGAGGACCGGGCUGGCACCAGGUCAUCCGGGAGUGGGGCAGAAACUGGCACUUGUUUCUGUCACCACUGACCCCUCCUUCCCUCCCCCCUCACGUGCUGGAGAGAGCAGCUGCUUUCCAGAACCCGAGCCCUCCUAUCAGCCUGGGUCCCUAGACCUGACUGUACCAGCAGGCGUGACGCCCAGGAGAAGCCUUGGAGGGAAUACUACCCACUACGCCCACCCGCUAGCCCUGCCUGCUCCCUGAACUCAGCUGUCCAGGAAGCCAGACGCCAAGACAAGCCCGGGCCUCUGCCUGCAGCUGAGAGUUUUAGAAGGACUCAGCUCGUGCCAGGCACAGAGGGUGUAACAGAGGCUGAGCGAGGAGAGACAGGGCCCAGGCUUCAGGGCCCCCCGACUAGCUGGGGAGAAGUCGAGAGGGUGGACAUGUGAUGCUGUGUGUGUACCCGACCUGGAGUGAGGUGACUUCCCCUGAGUCAGGCAGCGGAGCGAUGCAGGGUCUCCCUUGGGCCUGCUCUGUUCCUAUCAUGGGACCCUGGCCACCAGCUGCCCUUCUCCAGAGACACCUUCUCCCCAUCGCUGGGCCGAAAAUCCAGGGAGUAGCCACGUGGGCAGCGCUUCCCUGCCUCGAAGCACAGCCUGUCGCCAGGAGUGGCUGGGCAGGAGCCCUAGGGCCAAGAGAGACCAACCCCCCUGAGAGAGGCCUCACAGGACCCCUGCUCACAGCAGCUCCGAGGACCAGCACAGGGCACCUCUCCACGGAGCCCCACGUGGGCCCUGACUGUCAGCUUCUCUGGCUGUGUCCCUGAGAGGACACUGGGACUUGGGGAUCUGGGCGAUGAGGGCGAAGUCCUCAGGUGUGGGCUGCGUCCUUCCGUGAAGGCAUGGGUAUAGGUUCUGGGGUAGUGACCUCGGGGCCCUUCUCACUUUCCACCCUCACUUCUCUGCCCUCACUUGCUCCCGACACCUACCCACCCAUCCACCCAUCUAUCCAUCAUUCAUGCAUGCAUCCGUCCACCUAUCCGUCCACCCAUCCAUUAUCCAUCCAUCCAUCCUCCCCAUCCGUCUAGCCACUCAUCUACCUAGCCAUCCAUGUAUCCACCCAUGCUAUUAUCCAUGCAUUCAUCCAGCUUCCAUCCGUCUAUCAAUCUAUCCAUCUGUCCAUCCAUCCAUUCAUCCGUCCACCAUCUACCCAUCUACUCAUUCCACUUACACGUCCUCUAGGAAAUAAUUACAAUGAUGUUUCUCUAUCUCCUCUCUCCUCUUCCCUUUCUCAUUUACACACACACCUACCCCUGACAAGAGAAAACAGUAAUUCUCAAAGACCACGGAGUGAAACCUGGUGGGGCUCGGAGAGCCUUAGGUCUGCAGGUGGUUGGCAGGCAGCUCUGGAACUUGCAACACCUGACAUGCAGACACUCCGUUUUUAUUUAAGAUUAUGUUAACUGGGGAGGAGAAGGGGGCUUUGGGAGGACAUCACUGAUCGUAACCCUUAAGAGGGGAAUAAAUAUCUAAUAUAAAUCA